AUUGAACGCUGGCGGCAGGCCUAACACAUGCAAGUCGCACGAGUGGCGGACGGGUGAGUAAUGUCUGGGAAACUGCCUGCUGGAGGGGGAUAACGACUGGAAACGGUAGCUAAUACCGCAUACCCUCAGAUGUGCCCAGAUGGGAUUAGCUUGUUGGUGGGGGAACGGCUCACCAAGGCGACGAUCCCUAGCUGGUCUGAGAGGAUGACCAGCCACACUGGAACUGGGACACGGGCCAGACUCCUACGGGAGGCAGCAGUGGGGAAUAUUGCACAAUGGGCGAAAGCCUGAUGCAGCCAUUCCGGUGGUAUGAAGAGGGCCUUCGGGUUGUAAAGUACUUUCAGCGGGAAGGCGUUACCCGCAGAAGAAGCGCCGGCUAACUACGUGCCAGCAGCCGCGGUAAUAC
rnacentral:rRNA from 1 species